rnacentral:rRNA from 1 species
UACGUGAAACCGUUCAGGGGUAAACCUGAGAAACCCGAAAGGUCGAAAGAGGAAAUUCAUUCGCGUUUCGAUCGUCGAAGUCGGACGUUUGUGUGACGGAUGGGGCGUUCGCGUCCCGUCAGCGCCAUACGUUUGUCACUUGUCGAUGUCGAACGCGUGCACUUUUCCUCUAGUAGGACGUCGCGAUCCGUUGGGUGUCUGUCUAAGACUUCGAGGUGGAGUCCGCUCGAUACAUUUUAACGUGUUGUCGGGUGGACCCUUGUUGUUCCGGCAGACUGGCUCGACGGUAUGCUAUAAUGGCGCGGGGCCGCUACCUCUUACAGUUAGCGUUCGGCCCGUAUCAAGCACGUUCUGCGUUUGACGGCGAUCGGACCCAGUGCCGAUUCUGUCCCGGAACGACUGUUGGUUACGGUGUUCUCGAACAGACCUCGUUGAAACGCCGAUCAGCGACGCUAUAGCUUUGGGUACUUUCAGGACCCGUCUUGAAACACGGACCAAGGAGUCUAGCAUGUGCGCGAGUCAUUGGGACAUUAUUAAACCUAAAGGCGUAAUGAAAGUAAAGGUUUACCUUGCGUAGACCGAGGGAGGAUGGGUGGUUUGCCCUUAAAGUGGCCAUCCCGCACUCCCGGGGCGUUUUGUUCUCAUUGCGAGAAGAGGCGCACCAAGAGCGUACACGCUGGGACCCGAAAGAUGGUGAACUAUGCCUGGUCAGGACGAAGUCAGGGGAAACCCUGAUGGAGGUCCGUAGCGAUUCUGACGUGCAAAUCGAUCGUCGGAACUGGGUAUAGGGGCGAAAGACUAAUCGAACCUC